rnacentral:rRNA from 1 species
AGAAUCAACGCUGGCGGCGCGCCUAACACAUGCAAGUCGAACGAGAAAGUGGAGCAAUCCAUGAGUAAAGUGGCGUACGGGUGAGUAACACGUGGGUAAUCUACCUUUUAGUGAGGAAUAACUUUGGGAAACCGAAGCUAAUACCGCAUAAUCCUGAGAAGGGAAAGCAGCAAUGCGCUGAAAGAGGAGCCCGCGGCCGAUUAGCUAGUUGGUGAGGUAAUGGCUCACCAAGGCUCAGAUCGGUAGCCGGCCUGAGAGGGCACGACGGCCGACACUGGCACUGAAACACGGGCCAGACUCCUACGGGAGGCAGCAGUGGGGAAUCUUGCACAAUGGGGGAAACCCUGAUGCAGCGACGCCGCGUGAGCGAUGAAGCCCUUCGGGGUGUAAAGCUCUUUCGGCAGGGAAGAUUAUGACGGUACCUGCAGAAGCAGCUGCGGCUAACUACGUGCCAGCAGCCGC